UGGGAAAGUACAUAUCAGAGAGCAGAAGGCAGCUCCGCGCUCGCACUCCUCCGCUACCCCACCGCGCUCCUGUCUCUGCUCUCUACGCUGCCCAAGGGCCCCUCGCCACCGCCACCAUGGACGCCAUCAAGAAGAAGAUGCAGAUGCUGAAGCUCGACAAAGAGAACGCCUUGGAUCGAGCAGAGCAGGCGGAGGCUGACAAGAAGGCGGCGGAAGACCGGAGCAAACAGCUGGAAGAUGAGCUGGUGUCACUGCAAAAGAAACUCAAGGGCACUGAAGAUGAACUCGACAAAUACUCUGAGGCUCUCAAAGAUGCCCAGGAGAAGCUGGAGCUGGCGGAGAAAAAGGCCACAGAUGCUGAAGCUGAUGUGGCGUCUCUGAACAGACGCAUCCAGCUGGUUGAGGAGGAGUUGGAUCGUGCACAGGAGCGUCUGGCCACAGCUCUGCAGAAGCUGGAGGAGGCUGAGAAGGCCGCAGAUGAGAGUGAGAGAGGCAUGAAGGUCAUUGAAAGCCGAGCCCAAAAGGAUGAAGAAAAGAUGGAAAUUCAGGAGAUCCAACUGAAAGAGGCCAAGCACAUUGCUGAAGAUGCUGACCGCAAGUAUGAAGAGGUGGCCCGUAAGCUGGUCAUCAUUGAAAGUGACCUGGAGCGUGCAGAGGAGCGGGCUGAGCUCUCGGAAGGCAAAUGUGCCGAGCUUGAAGAAGAAUUGAAAACGGUGACGAACAACUUGAAGUCACUGGAGGCUCAGGCUGAGAAGUACUCGCAGAAGGAAGACAAAUAUGAGGAGGAGAUCAAGGUUCUUUCUGACAAGCUGAAGGAGGCUGAGACUCGGGCUGAGUUUGCAGAGAGAUCAGUAACUAAAUUGGAGAAAAGCAUCGAUGACUUAGAAGAUAAGUUUCUUUGCUUCACACCUCCCAAGACUCCUUCAUCAAGCUGGAUGUCCCACCUCUCUGAGCUCUGCAUCUGUCUGUUCUCCAGCUGACCCAGGUUUCCUUUUAGCGCCCGCCCUAGGGCCAGGCACACACUGUGCUCUCUAUUGUACAGGAUCUAUUCACCCAGUGUAAAAUAAACACUAUCAACUCUACCAUCAACUCGAGCAAAACCGCCGCCUAACUAACGAACUAAAGCUGGCUCUGAAUGAGGAUUAAAAACUUGUGUGCACAAACUUGGGUGGAGUUCUAGGAAUGCAACCCAUGUGCAGGAAAUCUAUGAUUCAUGGAGUUGAAAAGGAUCAUGUUCUACACAAAUGGAUAGGAAAGGCAUUGUUGGAAGGCCAGCCUUGCCUCAAUUUCCUCUGUAUAUAUCAGUUGAAUCCUCAUUAGCACCAAAAGUUUUUAUGACAUAUAUAUAUAUAAGUGAAAAUAUUUAUACCAGUCAAUUCAACCCUUCCUGCAUCAACAGGUCCUCUUUGAACUCACUGAUGAGUCCCCCCCAAAAAAAGCCACUUUUUUUUUCUGUUUCCUCUAAACAGCUGUGAGUCCUGCUUUAAAUAUCUAUUACAAAUUUGUAUUCCUAACAUCUUCAUAACAUGUAUAGUGUUUGAAAUGUGAUUCAAUGUACCUAUGCUUGGGCAAAAUAGCUUUUGAAAACAGGAGCUCAUCAGAAGUCCCUGGUUGAAAGGUACGCUUUGUUCGGUUUAACGGUGUUGGAAUCUGAUGAGUGUCAUGCUAAUAAGUAGGAAACUAUAAAAAUACUAAGAGAAUGUCCUAAUGAAGUGUGCAUGAGAUGUGUCGAUAACCCUUUGUGAGCAGUAGAAAUAAGCCAUUUAAAAAGCAGUCAGAAACCUAUUUGUGCCAUCUUUGCUUCUGUGAGGUUGUGUGCUUACACAGCUACCAGAUCUUUAACUGUCGAUAACUUAGAAUCCUGUCCUGGCAUUAACUUCAUUUUGUGUAACAGUGCUGUAUCUGUGUUUGGUUUUUACCCCUCCCUUGUUCCCACAGCAGGCAGUGGGUGAGCCUUCACCAAACACACCGUGCGCUUCAGGGUAGAUGGAUGGUGGAGGUGCACCCAGGGCCUUGUCUGGAAAUGAGUGAUGUCUUACGCAUGUAGAGUGCUAUUCCUCUUCUGUGUGUGUGAUUGAUGUUUGCUUACUAAAUGGACAAACCACUACCGAGUCUGAUGUGCAGCUAUUCAUGACUUAAUUUUCUAAUCCCA